rnacentral:rRNA from 1 species
UACGUAGGUGGCAAGCGUUGUCCGGAAUUAUUGGGCGUAAAGCGCGCGCAGGCGGCCUUUUAAGUCUGAUGUGAAAGCCCACGGCUCAACCGUGGAAGGUCAUUGGAAACUGAAAGGCUUGAGUACAGAAGAGGAAAGCGGAAUUCUACGUGUAGCGGUGAAAUGCGUAGAGAUGGGGAGGAACACCAGUGGCGAAGGCGGCUUUCUGGGCUGUAACUGACGCUGAGGCGCGAAAGCGUGGGGAGCAAACAGG